rnacentral:rRNA from 1 species
CAGCCGCCGCGGUAAUACCGGCCCCGCGAGUGGUCGGGACGGUUAUUGGGCCUAAAGCGCCCGUAGCCGGCCCGGCAAGUCCCUCCUUAAAGCCUCGGGCCCAACCCGAGGACGGGGGGGAUACUGCCGGGCUAGGGGGCGGGAGAGGCCGGCGGUACUCCCGGGGUAGGGGCGAAAUCCGUUAAUCCCGGGAGGACCACCAGUGGCGAAGGCGGCCGGCUGGAACGCGCCCGACGGUGAGGGGCGAAAGCCGGGGGAGCGAACCGGAUUAGAUACCCGGGUAGUCCCGGCUGUAAACGAUGCGGGCUAGCUGUUGGGCGGGCUUAGAGCCCGCCCAGUGGCGCAGGGAAGCCGUUAAGUCCGCCGCCUGGGGAGUACGGCCGCAAGGCUGAAACUUAAAGGAAUUGGCGGG